rnacentral:ncRNA from 1 species
AAAUCAUAAUUUACUCGAGCGAUAAAAACAAGUUCACAUGAUCGUAUCAAUAUCAGUUAAAACAAUCAAGAUUUCUUGCGUUAUAUAGGUAUGUGCACUUGUGUGUGUUGUAUGUGUUCUUACUGACAAUUUUUGUGUUACAUUAUACAUAUGUGUUAACGUAUAUAACCAUGCAUAGAAUAAUGAAAUAGGAUCGGUUCUUUUUUGUUUGGUUUGCUGAUCUGAGAUGAUGGUUAAGAGGGACGGAUGGGGGCAUUCGUAUCGCUGCGUGAGAGGUGAAAUUCUUGGACCGUAGCGAGACGUACGACUGCGAAAGCAUUUGCCAAGAAUGUCUUCAUUAAUCAAGAACGAAAGUCAGAGGUUCGAAGGCGAUCAGAUACCGCCCUAGUUCUGACCGUAAACGAUACCAACUAGCGUUCCGUCGGCGGUAAAUACGCCUUGACGGGCAGCUUCCCGGAAACGAAAGUUUUUCGGA